AUUGAACGCUGGCGGCAGGCUUAACACAUGCAAGUCGAGCGGGGUGAUGGUGCUUGCACUAUCACUUAGCGGCGGACGGGUCAGUAAUGCUUAGGAAUCUGCCUAUUAGUGGGGGACAACAUCUCGAAAGGGAUGCUAAUACCGCAUACGUCCUACGAGAGAAAGCAGGGGAUCACUUGUGACCUUGCGCUAAUAGAUGAGCCUAAGUCGGAUUAGCUAGUUGGUGGGGUAAAGGCCUACCAAGGCGACGAUCUGUAGCGGGUCUGAGAGGAUGAUCCGCCACACUGGGACUGAGACACGGCCCAGACUCCUACGGGAGGCAGCAGUGGGGAAUAUUGGACAAUGGGGGGAACCCUGAUCCAGCCAUGCCGCGUGUGUGAAGAAGGCCUUAUGGUUGUAAAGCACUUUAAGCGAGGAGGAGGCUCUUUUGGUUAAUACCCAAGAUGAGUGGACGUUACUCGCAGAAUAAGCACCGGCUAACUCUGUGCCAGCCGCCGCAGUAA
rnacentral:rRNA from 1 species